GGUUUAUCCUUUUUAAUUUGUGGAUUCUUCCCUAUAGCAAAAGUAACCCUUAUAAGUUCUAUGCUACGAAGUUUUUCUCAUAUCUAUCAUUUUGUUUUGUUUAUGAUGUCUUGAACUGUAGCAAAGUUUCAAAUUUUUCAUGUAAUUAAAUGUCUUUUACUUUAUGGCUUUUGAGUUUUAUGGCUUAUUUUGGAAGGUCUCUGUACACUCUAUACUUAAACAGAAAUUCUUUGCUGGAUUUUAUAUGUAUGUCUUGCAUUUCAAUGCAUUUACAUCUUUUUGAUUGAUUAGAAUUUAUGUAUGGCAUG
rnacentral:lncRNA from 1 species